GAUUAUAGGGACACAUAUUUGGGACACUUUUGUAUAAAUGUUCCAUUUAUACCAAAACUUUUAAAAAAAUCUACUAAGGCCUGAAUAUAAAACCCAAUCCAACCAAAAAUAAAAUAUUACUCUACUCAACCCACCUCACCCAAUUCAUUCGGCCCGAUUACAAACAAAAAAGAAAAAAGAAAAAAAAAAUCAAUCACCAUCUCCCCUUCUCCCCUCACUCAAUUCACUGAAACCCUAGACGAAGAGCUCUUCGCUCUUCUCCUCCUCCGCUACCGCAAUUAACGAGGUAAUAUUCCGGCGGUUACAAAAUACUUAAAUAAGUGUUGGUAAAUUAGCAGCACUCUUUUUAGAUUAUAGCGACAUUCUUAAACUGUCACUAUAUACCUAGCGACCCCAUAUAUAGCAACAUUUUUUAAAAGUGUCGGUAAUUUAGCCAGCUAUAUUUUUUCUGAUAUGUACCAAUAUUUAAAAGUAUCGCUAUACACCGUUUUUGUUGUAGUGGUCUCUAAUACUCUUAUCUAGAUACUACUCCAUGCCUUGUUAUUAAUUCUCUAU
rnacentral:lncRNA from 1 species